GCCGGUAAGACUGGUAUUACUCCGCGAAAGCUGGACCAACACUACAUGGGUGUUUGAACCCCAUGGUUCAACUUAAAAAGUGGAUUCGGAUACAAAAUACAAAUGGAGGAGCGGGUUAAUCUCUAGGUGUUGAGGUCACGUCUCACCGACGCUAGGAUGCGUAGCCGACCCGAGAGGGUGAGGGGCCACACUGGUACUGAGACACCGCCCAUACUCCUACGUGAGGCAGCAGUAGGGAAUCUUCCGCACUGGACGAAAGUCUGACGGAACAACGCCGCGUGAGUGAUGAAGGUUUUCGGAUCCUAAAGCUCUGUUGUUAGGGAAGAACAAGUACCGUUCGAAUAGGGCGGUACCUUGACGGUACCUAACCACAAAGCCACGGCUAACUACAUGCCAGCAACCGCGGUAAAACGUAUUUGGCAAGCGUUGUCCGGAAUUAUUGGGCCUAAAGGGCUCGCAGGCGGCCUCUUAAUUCUGAUGGGAAUACCCCCGGCUCAACCGGGGACGGUCAUUGGAAACUGGGGAACUUGAGUGCACAAAAGGAGAGUGAAACUCCCACAUGUAUUGGUGAAAUGCGUAUAGAGGUGUGAGAAACACCAGAUGUCAAAGCGUGUCUCUCCUCUGU
rnacentral:rRNA from 1 species